CGGGCGGCUGGGCUGAGCCGCGGCGGCGCUGGAGGUUCGUCUGGAGCCGGAGCGGAGCGGAGCGGAGCAUAGCAUCCCUGCACCCCCGGGGCUGCCUCCCGCCGGGAAUGCCCGCCCGCCAGGGUGUACUUGGAUAUGAGGCACUGAAAAAGAGCAAAACACCCAACUACUCACCUUGCACAUUUUACUGUAUACCAUGGAGACUAAGGAAGAGAAGAAGGAGCGGAGACAGGGUUAUUUUGCUCGGU